AGCCAUUCCAGUUAAAGCAAGUUGACCCGGCACAGUCCAAAAUCCGUGCUAUGCAGCACAGUCCAAAAUCCGUGCUAUGCAGCACAGUCCAAAAUCCGUGCUAUGCAGCACAGUCCAAAAUCCGUGCUACCCAGCACAGUCCAAAAUCCGUGCAGAGCUCGUGGCACAGAGGAAAAUGGACAUAAGGUAGCGGUAACAGGCUGGCGACUGUGGCUUUUACACAUUGCUUCACACAACCCUGUCCAGGAGUUUUACACACUCACUAAACAAAUAGAAGGCACCAUCCAAUUCACUGGAGCCCCGUUGGAUAAAUACGGAAAGAAUGUGGGAGCUAUGUCAUGAACCACAAUGGUUUUGUGUUCUGUGUAAUUUGAAGACGAGAUUCCUUUGCUGUGUGUCACCUCCCAUAUUACCACUGUCGCCCAACAUUUCAUAACCAUCAACUCUUUGCCAGUGCCCACAUGCAAAGAUGGGUUUGUAUUAAAAAAUAAAUGAGAACAGCACAUUCUGAUGUGGUGUAGUAUAUCAGCAUUUUCCAUGAAGCCUCGUCGCCGGCCUUCCCCUUUUAGGAAACAAAGGACCCGUGACAGAGCCUACUUAUCCCGUUACAGCUCCUGGUGAGAAGGGCAAAGCGAUGUCAGAAAUAAUAGAAAAGGCUUUUUCCUUUGAAAUAUCUAAAUGUUCAAAGAUGGGAACAGCCGCAGGGGGGAGAAUACUGUGCUAUGCAAGUUGAUCUGAUUUUGUGGACCAUCCAUUUCCAAUUGGGAAGCUCACUUACUUUCAACUUGAAGCAUCAGAAAACCAGACUUACAGCAGCUUCAGCCUAUAGGGGUUUAUUUUUCUCAUGUAACAAGAAGAACAGAAGUGGACAGAGGCCGAGUUCUCAAGGACUCAGUUUCUUUCUGUCCCAUCAACCUUACCAUGUUGGAUUGUCAUCUUUGCGCUUGUUGCCUCAUGGUGGCAAGAUGGCUGCAGCACCUCUGGGACUCACGACUGAUUUUUAAGACUACAGAGCCUAAGUCAAAGCUUAUUCUUGGACCCAGGAAAUAUGUCAAAUCCUUCCAGUGAAUGGUGCCUUUCAGGAUUGGAGACUACUCCCCCAGUUGCUGAUGGUGUGGUCAGCCUUCAGUUGUCAGUCCUCUUUGGGAAUUGCCUUGGAUGAAGAAAGUCACCUCACCCAAGAUCACUCCAACUCCUGGGACCCACAUCCAAUGAUUGGCCAAUAUGGGGACUCAAAGGCCUGGUCCCCCUUCCCCAACUUGAGACUACUCUGAAGGAUCACCCAGCUUCAGAGCUUCCCAUGGUUGAGACUUUUAGACUUCACUGUGGUCCAACCAACCUCUUCCUAUACACGGUCCUGACUCCUUCACUUCCCUCCCAGCACUUCUUCUGUGUUAAUAUCAAACUUCUGUGCUAAUAACAAACUUCUUCCGUGCUAAUA